AAGGAAAAGCUAGCUGGCAUCAGAAACAGGUGGGACUGGGAGAGGAGGCGGAGGGAGGGGCUGCUUUUGACUUGGGGGCCCAAGAAGACCUCUCUGCAGAGGUGAUAUUGAAGAUGAGACGGCCACCGCAGGUGAGUGGAGACUCCCGGCCCCAGAGGCCAUGCCCGCAGAGCCCAGGCCCUCAGCUCGGGACACCGUGUACCCCGUGCGCCCUCCAGCCCCGGGCUCUGUGACUUCUCACUACUGCACACAGGCAUGCUUCCCCCACAACAAACGCCUCUUUCUCCUCCGCAGGAGCCUGCUGCCAGCCCACCCAGCCCUGCCAGCAGCGUCAGCUGAUCCCUGCGCGGUUACAAUCAACAAAGAGGGAGAGAAUGAGGAGCGGGGAAAAAUCCCACGGAGUCACGGAGGUCAUCUGGCUGGGGCGCAGGCUGCGGGGAGCGCUUCUCUCUGCCUCCAUGGCUCCCCACGUUGCACAGCACCAGGAGUGAGAAUAAUCGCAGCCGCCGCCACCACCACGUGCAUGCCCAGGGUGCCCUGCUCCGGUUAUCUGCCUCUCCCACAACGCGUACACCCCUCCUCCCAGUAUUUAGAAGGGAUCCGUCUAGAACCGAAUGAGUGAAUGGAAUAAACAGUUUUUGGAGACUGUGACA
rnacentral:lncRNA from 1 species